rnacentral:rRNA from 1 species
AAUCUUCCGCAAUGGACGAAAGUCCGACGGAGCAACGCCACGUGUACGACGAAGGCCUUCGGGUUGUAAAGUACUGUCUUCAGGGACGAACGGUAAGUAUGUAAAUAAUGUACUUACAUGACGGUACCUGAGGAGGAAGCCCCGGCUAACUACGUGCCAGCAGCCGCGGUAAUACGUAGGGGGCAAGCGUUGUCCGGAAUCAUUGGGCGUAAAGGGCGCGUAGGCGGAUACUUAAGUCUGGUGUGAAAACCUAGGGCUCAACCCUGGGACUGCAUCGGAAACUGGGUAUCUUGAGGACAGGAGAGGAAAGUGGAAUUCCACGUGUAGCGGUGAAACGCGUAGAUAUGUGGAGGAACACCAGUGGCGAAGACGACUUUCUGGACUGUAACUGACGCUGAGGCGCGAAAGCGUGGGGAGCAAACAGG